AGCGAAAGCUUACAUUAUUAACGCUGGACAAUGCGCUGCUAUACCUUUCGGGCAGCAAGUAAGCUGUACCGGCUUGCUCAAUUUCUAGAAACACGCCAUGAAACUACUGACCUGCCUUAUAGUUCUGUUGUCCUGCGCCCAUUACACACUUGGUAUCAAAUACAUCAUCCUAAAGCACUGCCUGACACCACAAGCUGUCCGCACAUGCAGAGAACACGCACAAUCUUGGGGUAUUGAUGCUGUAACAAGGGUGUGCAAGUUAUUCACUUCCGACGCUUGCAGUUCAACAAAUCAUAGCACGUUUGUUUCAGAGGCAGCCUGUCAGCGUAUAUGCUUACUCCCAUCAUACAGAAAACUCGUGUGCAGCCUCACGCCGAAACCAGGCCCUUGCUCAGCGCUUAAUAGAACGUGGGUCUUCGAUUCCGAAACUGGUUUCUGUAAAAAUCUUGGUGCCAAAAUAUGCGGCACAAACUCGAAUGCCUUUCCUUCCUGCAAAACGUGCACGCACAGAUGCAGUGAUAGGCAUGAACACGCGGUCUGUGGCCUGCCUCAUCAUACGAUACCAAACACGAAGAAAAAUCAGAAACGGCACACAGACCAGUUGGAAGGAAAACACCGAGGACUAGGGCCAGACUAAGCAGGUAUCAAACAGUUCAUCUUCAAGUACUGCAUGACAUCGCAAACGGCCCGUGUAUGCAGAGAACACGCACAGUCUUGGGGUAUUGAUUUCGUAACAAGAGCGUGCAAGCUAUUCUCUCCUGACACUUGCACUUUAACGAACCAAACCAAGUUUGUGUCAGAGAAGGCGUGUCAGCAUAUGUGCGUACCCCCACCACAACGAAAACUUAUAUGCAGCUUGAUGCCAAAACCUGGCCCCUGCUCAUCUCUUAAUAAGACUUGGUACUUUGAUCCCACAAGUGACUCCUGUAAAAGUUUUGUUGGCGCAAAAUGCGGAGCAAAUCCUAACGCCUUUCCCUCGUGCAAGGUGUGCUCGCACAGAUGCAGUCAUAGCAAUGCCAUUGCAGUCUGUGGCCUGCCCCAUCAUCCACAACCGAAGCCGAAGAAAAAGGAGGGACACGCCGAAAGGGUGGAGAGAAAGCACGGACACAUCGGGCCAGACUAGGCAGGGGACUGGCGUUAUUUCCCGCAAUCCUAAUAUUAAUAUCUGGGGGUUUAACGUCCCAAAACCACGAUAUGAUUAUGAGGGACGCAGCAGUGGAAGGCUCUGGAAAUUUCUACCAUGUGGGGCUCUUUAAGGGGUACCUAAAUCUAAAUAUACGGGCCUCAAAAAUUUUUGCCGCCAUCGAAAAUGCAGCCGCCGAGGCCGGCAUAGGCGUGCGCACAGCCCCCCCCCCUAAUCACCUAAGAGGGGGGGCGCAAAAUCUGCCCCGUACAUUGACCCUUCUUUUCACUAAGAAGGGGGGGGGGCGAAAUCUGCCUCGUACAUUGACUUAAUAGGAGGGAAGGGCGCUGCGAUGAAUCUUCGCCCCCCCCCCCCUGUUGACGAAUCCUGCGCACGUUUAUGGAGGCCGGGAUUCGAUCCCGCGACCGCAGGGUUAGCAGUCGAGUGCCAUAACCACUGGAGACCACCGUGGCGAUGCCCCUGCAAUCCUGGAGCACGCGCAGUGAUACGGAAAUGAGUCUGGCCGUUGUGCCUUUACGGUUAUCCUCACUACUACUUCGUUUUAGUAAAAAAAAAGCUAAUGAAUGUACGUAAAUAGAGAUUUGAAACGCCAUAAUUUAACAUAUAAACGCGGAUGAUGAAAACUGGACAUCAUCAGUGACUUAAUUAGCUUGUAUUUGUUGUUUCUUUGUGUGCUUAGUUCCUUGAAACAGCCACGGUGAUCUAUUGGCUAUAGCGCUCGACUGCCGAUCCGAAGGUCGCGGGAUCGAAUCCCGCCGGCCGCAUUUCGAUGGAGACGAAAUGCUGGAGGCUCGUGCACUGAGAUCUUUGUGCACGUUUAAGAACGCCAGAUCGUCAAAAUUCCCAAAGACCUCCACUACGGCGUCCCUCGUAAUCAUAUCGCUGUUUUGGGACAAAAAAAAACCCAACAAUUAUGUCAGAAUGUUUUGACGAAUUUCUGCCAUUUUUUUUUCGUACAAACGUAUAUUUAUUCACGUGUGUAAGUCUACGAUUGUCUUCCAGUUGUAAUGCUUACUGUAAUCUGUUGUGUAACUUGCUGAAAUUCGUGCACUGUGUUCUUUUUCCUGCCCCUCCUUCUUGGUCUUCGGAUUCAAGUAUGUACUAAAUAAAAUCUAA